CUGUUUCAGGUACUGGGAAUAUGGCAAAAGAACAAAGCAAAUGAAAAUCCCUGCUGUGAUGAUUUGUGGAGCUUGAGGAACUGAACAACAAAUAAGCACUCCUCUGGCACUUGGAGGACACUGCCCAGCACUGGUAACUGCUUCUAAGUGAAUAGGCCUUCCUCCAAGUGCUUCUGAGUCCUGGAGAUCAGGUCCCGGGUGAUGAGCUUUUCUGCAGUGGGCAGCGCUUAGCCAGGUAUGUAGCUGGCCCUCACCGAGAACUGUUCUACCUAAGCUGAUCUACCAACCUGGAAAGUUCACAAUCUGAAGGCAGGAGCCAGAAAUUCCUGGGGACUCUUUUCUAGUCACGAAUGCGGCAGCACAUCUGUCCCAGGCUUAUCUCACCAUAUCAGACUGGCACACUCAUGGGGCCCACCCAGGCUGAUCUCCUGCCCAAAUUCAAACUUGGCCUGUUGACACCGUGG
rnacentral:lncRNA from 1 species